GCGAUAGGUUCUCGUAGGUGACCUGCCAGGGUCAUU
rnacentral:rRNA from 1 species